rnacentral:rRNA from 1 species
UACGUAGGGUGCGAGCGUUAAUCGGAAUUACUGGGCGUAAAGCGUGCGCAGCGGUUCGCCAAGUCAGGUGUGAAAUCCCCGGGCUUAACCUGGGAAUUGCGCUUGAAACUAGCGGGCUUGAGUGUGGCGGAGGGGGUGGAAUUCCACGUGUAGCGGUGAAAUGCGUAGAGAUGUGGAGGAACACCAGUGGCGAAGGCGGCUUCUGGUCUGUAACUGACGCUGAGGCGCGAAAGCGUGGGGAGCGAUCCGG